GAAUAUGCAAGGUGCGUAUCUUUUCAUUGAUAGAAGAAGAGUACAAGCAUGGGAUUACAACGCUUACAAGGCCAUGUACGCGCUAGGCAUGGUGUACAAGCGUGGGAGCAGAACAGAACAGGGGGUAUGCUUAGCCCCAGAAAACUUAAAGUCUCCGCCUGGCUACUCUACAGAAACAGGCUCAACACCCGCGCCAACCUCGCACACAAGCACAUCAUCACUGCGAAUGUGUGCCCUCGGUGCCAUGAGCAAUGUGAAGACACAUCGCAUCUCUUUCAUUUCAUGCCCUCUAGCUGAUAGAGUUUGGCAACGCUUGGGUAUUUCACCUAUAUCCGAGGACGUCGAUGAGCUAUGGGGCACAACACUGCCACGUGACAUGCUGGCCAAUAUGUGGCCUUUGGUUCUACUAACCUCUCUGUGAAAGAUAUGAGCCGCACGAAAUGACAUGCUAUUCAGGUCCAUCGACCAAAGAUCUGCAAUAACCCUUGGGCUUAUUAUCUACAAGAGCGCAAAGAAGACACAAGACUGUACGGACGAAAUAGCAAAGCAGAGGAGGGGAAAAAAAGAAACUAAGAAGAAGAAGCAACCCAAAACUCUGAUCAAGUGAAAUAUUUGGCUAGCAGUGUAUGCCAGUUGCAUCAACCAUCUAGAGGAAACGUGAGCUAUGUGUUCUUCAGGCACUACCUUCAACUGUUGCCAAUGUUCUCCUGCUCGUGAAGACGCAUGCCCUGGAAAUAAAAGAUUGUCCGGCUGAAAAAGAUAGAGCAAGAUAUGAGUCCAUGAAAGAGACACGGCUGUGGAUCGUAGAAGAAGAUAGGAAAGGAAGUACAACAUCAUGUCACCUGCCCUACCCGGCCUUCUUCUCUGCAGCACAGCCGUUGAACUGCUUGAACACCAACUUUCUUGGCUAUCAGCUAAACUCUGAACUGAUUUCUCGCUGCAGCUGAUGCAUCCAUGCUUCCCAGAGCCCACUCAAGGCAGUUGCCACAGGUAAAUACUGGAAUGUGGCAGUCUAGCAGCGCAAGCCAGAGAGUGGUUUGUGUCUAGUGGAGCAGCAGCACCUGACGCUGUGAGUGCAACCACCCAC
rnacentral:lncRNA from 1 species